AUCACCUAGAAGAACCUUGAAGGUAGAGAAUCAUUCUUCCUCCUCAACAGUUGGCAUAGCCAGCAGGAUAAACUUUAGCUGGCUGGACACUGCUGCGGCUGAGAGAUUAUGGGACAUCUGACAAAAGCUGGCACGAGGGAAGAAUCCCCAUCACCACAUCAGCCAAAUGGAUCUCUGCCUGCCAGGUCUCGUGCAAGUGAGAGUGAUGACACAAUUGGAAACAUGAGCUAUAAUAUCAUCAAGGCUUUGACGGGGAUGUCAUAUUUGAGGGAAACAUGCAUAGACUCAGAUAUGACCAGAUAGCUUUAAGGAACUGAAGUUGACUUAAUGGAGCUAAUAAAGCCCAUUGCAAAUAUCAGCCUGACACCUUGCUUACAGAGUAACCGGCAGCCUUACAAGAAUCAUUGAGAAUUAAAACAGACUUCUCUCCCUGAAGCCCUGCAAACUAAAUAUGAAUGACUUGAUAUAAACUUCAGGAAAAUCAGCACAAUAGAUAACAUAAAGUCAGCGCUGGAGGAAUAUGGACUACCUUACGAGGGCUAAAUUGGGUGGCUUGCUAAGGAACUUCACUAAGAGAUGCCUGGGACCCCAGCAAACAUCUUCUUGAGUUUGAAACUUCCCAGAGGAUCUUUGGAAGAUUUCAAGGGUUUGUUCUUCUCAUAAAAGAGAGAUGUUAAAGGCAGCAACCUCUUUGACCUUGGCUGCAGCAAC